UUUAAAUAAGGAAGAGUUUGUGGUGGAUGCCUUGGGUCUGAAAGUCGAUGAAGGACGUGAUUACCUGCGAUAAGCCUCGUGGAGCCGGAAAUAUGCUAUGAAACGGGGAUUUCCGAAUGGGGAAACCUAACUAGGGUAAUGCCUAGUUGCCUUGUUCUGAAUUCAUAGGAACUUGAGUGAGACACCUUGUGAACUGAAACAUCUUAGUAGCAAGAGGAAGAGAAAAUAAACAAUGAUUUCUUUAGUAGCGGCGAGCGAACGAGAAAGAGCCCAAACCCAGCAAUGGGGGUUGUAGGACGAUCUACAUGAAGUUACAAAACUUAAUGAUAGCAGAAGCUUUUGGGAAGAAGCGGCAUAGAGGGUGAUACCCCCGUAUGUGAAAUUGUUAAGUCUUCUGAUCGUAUCCUGAGUAGGGCGGGGCACGUGGAACCCUGUCUGAAUCUGCCGGGACCACCCGGUAAGGCUAAAUACUAAUCAGACACCGAUAGUGAACUAGUACCGUGAGGGAAAGGUGAAAAGAACCCAGAGAUGG
rnacentral:rRNA from 2 species